CUCCUUUCCCUUUUUCUGUCGCUCGGUCGUUUCCUCUUCCGUCUCAGGACCCUUCCUUCUCCCCUUCUUUUUUUUGGUAUUUCUCACCGUCAUCUCCUUUCCGCCUCCUCAACUCCCCUUUUCUCCUCCAUCCCCGGCUGGCCGGCUCUCGUGCUAAGCCAAAUCCCUCGUCGGCGUCGUGGUCCCUGCAUCCCAGCAGUCGUCUUCCUCCAUCCAUGAAAUCUCUUGCCGCGGGGGAUUUUUCGACUGGUGCUGCGCCAUGUCUUUCGGCGACGAGUCAGCGGCGUGAUGGUGACUGAUUUAGGCGAUUCGCAGAGCGGCACGAGUCCCCGUCGUCGCGGCAUCGGGCUUUGCGGCUGCUGGAAACCCUCCUCUUUGUAUACCUUCUCCUCGCCGGAUUUGCUCUGGCCCGGCAAUCCCACGGUAGAGUGAGGUUGUUCCUAUGCACAGGGGCGAGAUUGGCCUGCCUGCUCAGAGACCACACAGGAGCGUGCGGCUCUAUUCGCCUCUUCGUCUGUAGUUUUACUGCUGUUGAAGCAUCAACAGGUGCUCACUUCCUUUCUCUCCUUGUUUUUCCUGAUAUGUCGUUGAUCUCUGAAUAAGUUGUCUAUGCAAGUUCAUUGUUGUCGCAAGUGCUCAUGGUGGUUACUGUAGAGAGAUGGUUUCAGUUUAGGCUCUGAUACUUGUAUAGCUGCAUUUUACUUGGAAUAAAUUUGGAAGCAACUUUUCUGUUUUGUUUUGAGUUAACCAAUGAUCUGCAAACUGGGACUAGCAGCAGCAGGUUUGUGGUUACUAGCAGCAGUAGAAAUUAUACUCCCUUUGUCCCGAAUUAACUGACGGGGAUUUGUAUAAGAAUCUAUACAAAUCCGCAUCGGUUAAUUCGGGGUCGGAGGGAGUAGCAAUAAUUGUUUGUGGUUAUGAUUUUUCUUUUAAUUUUAUGGUUCCAAUAGAGCAGAUAUAGUACUAUGCAAAAAGCUGAACAAGCAAUUGGCAUUGUUGAACCCGGGCCACUGGUAAUUUCAAGUUGAGAUGCAAAAGGAACAAGGAUUGCACAUUGGAUGGAUCACUGGAGAUCGAAGAGAUGGUGCUUUGGAAAGCGAAAUAGCUAAGCUAGCUAGGGGAUGAUGCGAUGAUGGUUAGAUUUGGGUGUUUAACUGAUUCAUUUCUUCUUUGGGAUGCUGCUGGUGAGAAGGUCUAAUCAAUUGACUGUUCUUCUGUUUUUCUCCCCCUCCUCCCCCCUCUCUCUCUUGGUUGUUGUAGUUUUGGAGUUUUAUUCUUCUCCUAAGCUAGCUAUGUAAGCGCUAACACAUCUGAUUUGGUUGUUUGCAAGAAAAAGAGAUGACAAGAUUUUUCAUCUCCAAAGUUAUGUUAGUACUGUAAA